UCGACCAUCCAAAAGCUCACAUAACGGGAGGAUGGAAUAAACAUGAUAAACGAGUUCCAUAUUACGACAUUAUUAUGGUUUGCAUAUUGUCAAAACUCAAAACACAAGACAAUGGUAAUCAGGCAGGUUGCGAUACACACAAGUAAUAGCAUAAACAAAGAUUUACAGGCUAUGAUCUCCUCGGCAGAGUGAGCCGAGAUUGGCCGUUAGCUCAACCAGUUGGGAGCAUACAGCAGUCGAUGCAGAUUGUUCCAAGCACCGUGCUUACAAGAAAUACCAGCCAAGGUCGGCUUGGUUCAGAAGAGCAACAGACGAUUUCAUGAGCCCAGGCAUGACAUCAAUGACGUCCUUGACGUUCAGGGUGGAUAGAGUUGUAGCAACAGCAAGCUGCAAGUUGCAACACCGAAGCAGUCCAGACAAGUUCAAGCACAAAAAGAGCAGGUAUAAACAUACGUACCUCCAUGACAAAUGGUGACCAAUCAUGAGAAAGGGAACUGCAUGGCUGGGUCCAAGUAGUUGGCUGGAUCAUCUGUUGCGAGGACUCCAUUAUUGGGAGGAAAAACAUCGAAAAUGCUAGGCAUUGUUGGCUCCGAAGGACCUGACAGAUCAUAAUGUCCAUUGUACUGAGCAAGAGGAUGCUGCAUAUAUUGAUUGUCCUGAGCAGAAAAUUCACUGGAGAAGCUUGGGUCAAGAGCAAGGAGAUCGUUUAGUUCCAUGUAAUCAUUAGCCGACAGUUCUCUGUCAGGUGGCAACAUGAGGUAAUCUGUAGUUUCCACAUUGCUGGUGUUUAAGUUGUUAUCCGCACCUCCUAACUCAACAAGCUCUGAUAAUUCAUUGUAGAGGCCAAAAGAGUUGACUUCAAAAGCAUGAGCCUCAGCUUCAGACAUCGGAGGAAGACCAGAGCACUGUGAAAGACAUCAAAGCUAAAUAGUGAGCAUCUGGAAAGGAAUUUCUAAUCUAAAGCAGAAGCAUAAAAACAAUGUGCUGUCAAGGAAACUUCUCGUUCUGAAUUUCUAAUCUAAAGCAGAAGCAAUCCAGUAUUUACUGUUGAUCAGGAAGUCCCAAGCUUUACUUGGCAAAGUGAGUGAUUUAGUUGAUAAAGUUUGUACAUACUUUGUACAAACUCUUUUUAUUCCAUGGUCUUCCUCCGAUGUCUGAAUCAUAGAGUCUGUGGCACACAUGUUUAUUUACCAGCAAUUCACUUGUGACACACAUGUUUAUUUACCGUUUCUUGAGUCUGUGUGCUUGUCUUUUCAGUUGGAUGCCCGUGCGUUGCAACGGCAUACAAAAUAUUAAAUAAAAUUUUAGUGCACAACGAUAAUUGUUUAAAUCAUCUAAAUAGUGUUUAGUCAUAAUAAGAUGGUUUAGACAACAUGACAAUGCCAUAAUCUAUUCUUAAGUUCUCAAUAUCGCAAUAAGAGCAAAACAAUUUUGGUGGUUAUAAAAAGAAAAUGCAAAUCUUUAGAAACAUUACUAUUAGUUCACAGGUAACACAAAUUAAGAUGGCAUACAACAAUGCGCAUAUGACACAUAAAUCAAUAGUACAGUCAGAUCUGAGAAAUAAAAGCACUAUUGAUUUUCUAGACAUAUAACAAUGUCAAAUCAUAUUCCAGAAAUAUUAUUUAUUACAGAAAGUAACAAUUAUGUCUACUAUAGUAAAACAAAAAAAAGUAUUAGCAGAUAAAUUAUCUCUUCAACAAGUUUUAGUAGCAAAUGUUUAGGGAAAAAGUCAAAGACAUGUGCUGAAGACGAUGUCCAAAACGGAAGGUGUGAACAAUAAAAAAUCUUUCUAUUGAAGAAGAGUUGCCAGAAUCUACCAAAAGUGCAUGACUCGUAAAUCUACCAUAAUUCCAUAAAUAAUGUACAGAAUCUGGCCAUGUUUACCAUCCCUCUCGCGCCUUCGUCGCUUCCCCUCCUCCCAUGACUAUGAUGCUUCCUGCGAAAAAGCAAGGCUUGUUAACCCCUCCAGUGUGCUUCAAGCAAAGAUUGUGUAUAAGGUGUCAAGUUUCCAUACUACAUGAACCAGCACAAGACAAAAACAAGAUUGUGCAUGAAAUUAUAAGGGGAGAAAAAAAUCUCAACCUCUAGUGCACCGAUCAACACAAAAGGAGGGAGGAAAGUAAUGGCUGUAACAAUCCAAGUUUUAGCGUAUGAAAGCGACAUGGAUAUGCUCGUCGCUGUAGGAAAGCAUAUGCUGCUGUUGAGUGUACCCUUGCCUGGACAGGAGCUCAGGUGCUUUCAUCACGAGAUCCUCAUUCGUCACCUUCCCGUGCUCAUUUGCAAGAAUGGUCUGUAUAGAAUUACUCAGAGCACCGAAGGAGACACCUAGUGGUGUAGUUGCAUCGGCUGUUGUUUGGUUAGUCUGGCAUCCACUGAUCAGAAUGCCAUUAUUUGGCGCCCAAGCCUUAGUCACGGCAUACACCUCGUCGACACUGUGAACCUCUUGCUCCAUUACCUGCUCUAGCACUCAUAGAACCUAUAAAAUAGAGUGAAAACAAUGCACCUACCCUUAAAAUUUAAUGGCGUCAGAUUACGACGAUAUGCAAAAUUCAGUAACCUUAUGUACUGAUACACAAAUUACCCCAAUCAAACUCUGAAUGUCAUGGCACAUAAAUCAUCUCAAUCAAGCUCUGAAACUCGUGACACACAAAACAGGAACUGAAAAUGCCACGUGGUAGACUGGAGGCUACUGCAUACACACAAGCCCCCCACGCCUUGUUCAUCGGACGAGGAUUCUGAUUAAAACAGUGGGCGACUGUAGGGGCACAAAUCGACCCACCUGAUCCAGCCCCGAUCGAUGAGACCUAGUGUUCUUAGACCUCUAAAUCAUCCAAACAUCCAGUGCAAUAACAAAUUUUAGAGGUAGGGUCUUAAGCCCCAGGUCGCUUACCCCUUACUUGCUGGGGAUGGUGUAGUGCCAGAUCAUCAGGUUCAUUGUCCUGUCAGGCGGCUUCGCAACGAAACACUGCGCCAGCACCAUAGCAGCAAAACAGAUCAGGCACCCCGACCGCCUGGUGAGGCGAGAGCAGAGCGGAACCAAGGGAGAAUUGUGAGGCGCGUACGUGCGAGGCGGUCGUGGGCGAUUCUGCCAUACAUGGAGGCGGCAACUCUUCCUCCCAGGCUCACCCCCGCUGGGGAGUUUGGGGCUGGACUUUUUUCCAAGCGCGCGCGACGGAAGGGCUGAAGGGGAGCGAGGCGGUCACGGAUGGUUCUGCCAUACAUGGCGGCGACGGCUCUUCCUCCCAGGCUCGCCCCCGCUGGGGAGUUUGGGGGCUAGACUUUUUUUCGAGUGCGCGUGAGGGAAUGGCCAGAGGGGAGGGAGGCGAGCAUGGCGAGCGUCCUUCGGUGCGCGGAGGAGGGCGAGGAUGGCAGGGUGCGUGUAGUCAGCGUGGGGGAGCAGGGGCGGCGAGCAUCGCGGAUGACGAAUAGGGAGGGGAUAGCGACGACUGUUGCGUGGGGGAGCGGGGGCGGCCAGGGUCGAUGGCGUGGUGGCAGCCGAAAUCGAUGGCGAUUGGGGAGCGACUCUCAGGGGCACUCCUCAUGAAUCGCCUUCACCACCAUUUGGUCCUCUACUAUCGCCGAGAUCUGGUUGGAUGGAACGGAUCUGGCUGAUGCACCGGUGGUUGGAUGAGGGCGACAUUCACGGCGAAUGGAAGGGGAGCGAGGCACGGGGGGCGACGAUGGCCGAAGAUUUUGGGCAUGGAUUUGCAGAGUUUCCAAGCUGGGUGGGGGCAUGGAUGGAGGCGCGGCGUGUGGAUGGAAGGGGAGAUGCGAGCACCAAUGGAAGGGCAGUUGGGGGCGCAACGCAUGGAUGGGGUGUCAAUGGAAAGGGCUAUGACAUAUAGAUAGCACACAUAAAAAGGUGUGUUUGAAACCUCUAGUUGCUAAAAUUAGAUGUAGCACUUUCAAAUAGCCAAGGUAAAACAUCAAAUAAUUGGUAGCUGGAUCCCAACUAACAGUUAGUUCAUUAACUAGGUUGGAGCAGCUAAAACCAGCUAAAAAAUUGGCAGAAAGACGGUCAGUGUUGCCUCCUCCUCUUUCGCCGCGGUUCUCGAUCACCCACCACUCAACUCGAGAACACUAUGAAAAAGUAGUAGUUGAACUAACCUAUUAGCUAAAGGUUUUCAAUAACUCUAGUUAAUAGCUAGCCAGCUAGUAUUUAGUUGACCCUAUUCUAAUUAAUAAUUUACUAGGUCAGUGCCCGUGCGUUGCAACGGAAUCAUAUAAUAUCACGAUAACUUAUGAAUAAAUGUGUAUUAUACUGUGAUGAGAUGGAGGAUGGCGUUCUCAAGCUGUUCGGGAUGAUGUCGAAGCGAAACUCGAGCCACGGUCGAGCACCAAGCCCGCGAUGCGAGGUCGCCCGUCUGCGAGGCACGCGAGGUGGAGGGGGGCAGUCUCGGGGAGGGGUCAAUCUCCGGGAUAUGGUAGUGGAGUGGCGGCGCGCGGUCAAGAAGGUGUACGUGAGAGCCCGUGGAGGGAUGACGCAACGGGCGGUAGAGAAACGUCAGGGUAAUUUUUCCAUCCAAUCCAAUAGAGCCAUGGAAUUCCCGAGCCGUUGUGGAUGUACCUGUACUGCAGGAAUACGAAAACUCGCUAUUCACUCAGUUUAUUUUCCAUAAUAAGAUUAUGUAGGAGAGAUGGCCGAGCGGUUCAAGGCGUAGCAUUGGAACUGCUAUGUAGACUUCUGUUUACCGAGGGUUUGAAUCCCUCUCUUUCCGUUUCUCUUAAUUCAUCAAUGUUAGCGAUCACAAUGUAUCAAAUUAAAUAACAAUUUAUUCCAACAAUAAUACCUUUAAUUAAUAGAAAUUCUCUAUAGCAAAUUACUGUGGUAUGUAAAAUACACAUCGAGGAAAUAACAAAAAAGAAAAAAAGUAUCCUAGGGUUAAUCUAUUUCUGCUAGGUGAACGGGAAAAUACGAAUUAAGAGCCUUAGAAUGUAAUUCAAUUUCAAUAAUCAAACAGGACGUAAAAGUUUCGGAAGCAGUUGGCAGUCCAAUAUUUACUUACUUCCUGAUUCCCAUAAUAUUCGAACGUGUGGUAAGCCCAGACCGCACUUUAAAAAAAAGAUACUCUCUACGUCCCUAUUCAACCCCUCGUAGGCUCGUAGCUAAAUAUAGAUCACCAGACAAAAAACAAAAUAAGACACCUACUAAAUUCUUAAAAUUUAGGUGGACACUCAAAUUCUACCUCCAGCCUUUAUAUUUCUUGAGAAAGCCAUCAUGUCACGCAGCGCGCUCGUCGAUGCAGUCAAGCAAGUUUCGGCUCUGUCUUCUCUCUACCGGUGGUGGCACUUGAUGUCCUUUCUUUUGGCCGAGUAGUUUUGGCCUUGUGCAACUCUAUGACGAGCAGGUCCUACUUAUCAACCCUGAGUCAAUGAAUUCGAGGGCACUUUUGAAAGCCACUGUUAAAACAGAGACCACAAAAUAGUUGAAACCUAGCCCUGUUUUAAGGAAAUCCACAUAACACAGAAGAGAACGUAACAGCUUAGAAAGCAUCGACCAUCCAAAAGCUCACAUAACGGGAGGAUGGAAUAAACAUGAUAAACGAGUUCCAUAUUACGACAUUAUUAUGGUUUGCAUAUUGUCAAAACUCAAAACACAAGACAAUGGUAAUCAGGCAGGUUGCGAUACACACAAGUAAUAGCAUAAACAAAGAUUUACAGGCUAUGAUCUCCUCGGCAGAGUGAGCCGAGAUUGGCCGUUAGCUCAACCAGUUGGGAGCAUACAGCAGUCGAUGCAGAUUGUUCCAAGCACCGUGCUUACAAGAAAUACCAGCCAAGGUCGGCUUGGUUCAGAA
rnacentral:lncRNA from 1 species